AGACAUGUAAUCGCUGCAGUGUCAGCAUGAAGCCAGCUCACAAUGAAGUUGUAUAAUGCUAACUCACAGGGUAGAUAUAUAAUGCUAACUCACAGGGUAGAUGUAUAAUGCUAGCUCACAGGGUAUAUGUAUAACGCUAGCUCACAGGGUAGAUGUAUAAUGCUAGCUCACAAGGAAGUUGUAUAAUGCUAGCUCACAGGGUAGAUGUAUAAGGCCAGCUCACAAGGAAGUUGUAUAAAGCUAGCUCACAGGGUAGAUGUAUAAUGCUAGCUCACAGGGUAGAUGUAUAAUGCUAGCUCACAGGGUAGAUGUAUAAAGCUAGCUCACAGGGUGGAUGUAUAAUGCUAGCUCACAGGGUAGAUGUAUAAUGCUAGCUCACAGGGUAGAUGUAUAAUGCUAGCUCACAGGGUAGAUGUAUAAUGCUAGCUCACUGGGUAGAUGUAUAAUGCUAGCUCACAGGGUAGAUGUAUAAUGCUAGCUCACAGGGAAUGUUAAUAAAGCUAGCUCACAGGGAAUGUUAAUAAAACUAGCUCACAGGGAAUGUUAAUAAUGCUAGCUCACAGGGUAGAUGUAUAAAGCUAGCUCACAGGGUAGAUGUAUAAUGGUAGAUGUAUAAUGCUAGCUCACUGGGUAGAUGUAUAAUGCUAGCUCACAGGGUAGAUGUAUAAUGCUAGCUCACAGGGUAGAUGUAUAAUGGUAGAUGUAUAAUGCUAGCUCACUGGGUAGAUGUAUAAUGCUAGCUCACAGGGUAGAUGUAUAAUGCUAGCUCACAGGGUAGAUGUAUAAAGCUAGCUCACAGGGUAGAUGUAUAAUGCUAGCUCACAGGGAAUGUUAAAAAAGCUAGCUCACAGGGUAGAUGUAUAAUGCUAGCGGUAGAUGUAUAAUGCUAGCUCACAGGGAAUGUUAAUAAAGCUAGCUCACAGGGUAGAUGUAUAAAGCCAGCUCACAGGGUAGAUGUAUAAUGCUAGCUCACAGGGUAGAUGUAUAAUGCUAACUCACAGGGUAGAUGUAUAACGCUAGCUCACAGGGUAGAUGUAUAAUGCUUUAAUAAAGCUAGUUCACAGGGUAGAUGUAUAAUGCUAGCUCACUGGGUAGAUGUAUAAUGCUAGCUCACAGGGUAGUUGUAUAAAGCUAGCUCACAGGGUAGAUGUAUAAAGCUAGCUCACAGGGUAGGUGUAUAAAGCCAGCUCACAGGGUAGGUGUAUAAUGAUACCUCACAGGGUCAUUGCACACAGAACUUCCCUCUUAAUGCAUUGAAACAGUGCACCUCAAGACACUCCCACACAAACACAGCCAACUUUACCCUGUAUGCAUUUUGAUGGAUAAGACACAAGCAUAUGUAUAAAUGAUUGGUUUGCUUGUUAAUGGCCUGAUCACAGAGCUGGGCCUUCUUCCAUUAACGUUAAACUGAGUUCCAUUUGUCUUUGCCUUUACACACUUAAGCCUGUGAGAGAUUUCAACUUGAAAAUGCAUACCACAUUCAGUUUCAAAAGGUAAUGUUUGAAAAUAAACAUUGUAUAUAUAAAUUUGGAAAGCUGACAAACCCCCCACCCUCAACUAAUAUCAACAGACAUAACAGACACGAUUCUCCAUACAUCUUUUUCGUAAAACUGGAAUUUAUUUUUCAGUUAUACAUAACACAAUAUUCAUAUUGGUAAUUUACUAUUAUGUUGAUCUUAUGAAAAUGGAAUCAAUCCAUACGUUCUGUUUUUGUGUGCAUUGAUACCCACCACUCACAGCCUAACAAUUUGUAAUCUUUUUGAAUACAAUGAUAGUGAUAUUGUGAACGCGUCUUAAUUGUACAAAUUAAAGAAAUGCUCAUUAGACAACAGUAAAGGUAUACAGAUAAACAAUUACACAUUUUUUACGUUCAGCAUGGCAAAGAAUAUGGUUGUUUUGAAGUUUUUAAAAAAAAUAAGCCAGCAACUGAUCUUAAUUUGUGGUUUAUUUUGUUGACAGUUAAACGUUUGAAACAGAUGUUUGAUGAUAUUCAACGAACAGACUUUUAGAAAAAUAGUCUCGGAUACCACAAUCUAAUUGUAGAAAUUCAGGAAAUAAUUUUUUGAUACUACUUUGCAUACUUUUUUUCACCAGUAAAAUUAAAAUCCACAAGUUUGUCACAAUUUUGAUGAGCAUGCUGGAAAAACUAUUUUUCCUGGAAUUCUGAAGCUAAUCUAUCCAAUAGAUUUGUGACCUUUCUUCAGUUCAUUAUUUUCUUUAUCAGAUAUGACCUCAAUAUUAAUCCUUUAAUUAAUGUUUGGAUUUAUACAAAAAUGUUGUCAAUCUUAAGUUUUGAAAAGUUUCUACUAUGAAAGGAUUAUUUGUCAGGGAAUGGUGCUGAUACAACCGAAAACGUAUGCUUUAUGAGAUUGUCCUGUUGAAUGUGUUGCCAUUACUCAGAGCAGCCAAGUGAUGUGACCACUUCUUGAUAUUAUAACCCUAUGUUGUUAGACUUAUUUGCUUCACCAGUGCCAUGUCCCCCAGCGCUAUAUAACUGCUUUUCUUUCACUGUGUACUUGCUGGCCAUACUCUCACUGUUGUCUUUGUGCUGUUAACCAAAGAACUACUUAUCAGUGCUGAAUAAAAAAGAAAUAAAUUGUAGGCUAUGUAUGAAGGACACCUCAUUACUAAGUUAGUUUUUUGUUGUUUUUUGGUUUAUUUUUCCUCUUUAUUGUCUAUUGAUGUUUGACAAGCUUUAUAUAUUCUGCCAUGUUUAUUUCAGAUGACACUUCAUUUAGCAAACAAUGCUUGUUUUUAGGGAUACACAAUCAGAUAAUGAAGAAACUGUUGCAGUAUUUAAUGGACUUGUGGUUUGGUUGAUGGUUAAUUAAUGUUGUGUGUAUGUUUCUCUGAGAAAAACUUGAAUAUGUCUUUUUCAUAGCUUAUAGUUGUCAUUGUGUUACUGAAACCAUUAUUGCUUUGGAAUUGUUAGUGUUGUUGGUAAAAAGUGUGAUUAUUUUUUAGAGACAAAAAAUGCGUACCAAAUAAUACUUGGCUGUUUUGAACAAUAGCUCUUCAAAAUCUGAUUAUGUGUCUCAUGUUUGAUUCGUGACAAAAUGCUCAUGAGUUGAUUUCACUGAGCAUCGGUGAGACAUGAUGCAUUCAUGUUUGAUUUUCACCUAACAAUUUUGUCAAAUAUAUUUUGUAAGUGUUUUAAAACAAUGUUUUCCUUAUAAUUUCAUCAAACAUUGAACAUGACCUGAAAAUACUAUUGUUAGUAUUGCCUAAGAAAGCAUGUUUUCUAAAUGUCCGUGUCAAGAGAAUGUCGGUGACAUUUUUGUCAUUUGAAAUGCAUGGUAGUCAGUGUGUAAUGGGCUUGUUGUUGUACUAACUUGUAGAUGCCACCUGGUUACUCAGGUAUAACAGUGCACAGGGUGUAUUUAGUGACAGUGGCCACUUGUUUUACAAAAGUUUGCUAAUAUGUUCUUAACCUUGCUCCAGGAACAUGGUAAGAAUUGGGUCCCAGCCAAGACCUGUUGAUCAAGGAUCAAGUCCCAUAUCCCACCAAUAUGUCUUCCUUGUUUUGUCAGCAUCAUGCUUUGAGUGUUGCCCCAUCGUAGUAAAUCACUUUGGCUUUCUGUCCACUUGUUGAUGAAGCUGGCUAGCUGUUGUAUAACUGAAAUGCUUUUUGUAAUAACAAUAAUGAGUCUGUUUAUGGUACACCAAUUUCAUUCACAAAGUGAAUGAUCAUGGUUUUUACAUUAUUAUCACCGCGGUCAAUGGAUCAGUGUGCACUCGAUAUUGGUUCUCAGCUCCAUGGGGAGUAUACAACCCAAGCUGCCUGUGAGGUGAUAAAAGGUUAACAAUUAAAUAACAUCUCAUCCUACCGGGUACCCACUCACUGCAGCGUGAACAGGGGCAUGUUUGAACAAAGUCACCUGCAUCAGGAGACACCACAUGGACUACAUGUGCUUCAGUGCUUUUCAAACAGUGUCUGAAAGACGUUCCUUUGUUUGUUUGUUGUUUACGGCACUAUCAGCUAUUUGAUGGCGGUCUGUAAAUAAUUGAGUCUGGACCAGACAAUCCAGUGAUUGACAUCAUGAGCAUCGAUCCACAUAUGGCAGCUACCAGACACCGUUUUCAUCAGGACAUUAGGGACAAUUGAGUUGUAAAACACAUUCAUGAAGACCAGGGUGUAAAUUCCCCAAAUUACAGUGAUUGAGUGUCAGUGAACAUGGGGUAAGAGUUAAAAGUGAAGCGUGAAGUAGCUUGCCACUUUGGUGCAACCAGCAAACAUGGUAUGGUGUUGACAGACAAAGGAUUAUGAUCAGGGCAAAUCUGAUAUCUGAACCCAUCAUCAGCAGAUCCUUGCCUGACUAAGGGACACAACUCUUCUCAUUGAAAUGCAUGCCUUACAGCACCCAAACAAAAUUUCUCAAAGAUUCCUGUCAAAUACACUCAACUGAUUAAAGAAAUUUUAGAUUAUGUAUGAGAAAUUUAGUUCAAUUGGUGUCUGUUUCUAAGAUAAAUGAAUGAAAUGUUUGUGUGAUGCAAAAGACAUUUACAACAGUGCUUGACAAGGAAUUGUACA